AGAAAGGGACGGGGGAUUGGGGUGGGGAGUGCUGGGAUCGGGCACAGGAAUCAGGGAGAGCUGGGACUGGGAUUGGGAUUGGGAUUGGGAUGGGAAUUGGAGUUUGGAUCCCUCACUUUGUUCCUACCUCGCUUCUGCUUCCCUUUCCCGCUCUCUCCCUUGGCCGGUUUCUUCUUCCUCUCAUUUCGUUCCUCCUUCUCCAUUCCCAUUUCCCGCUCUCCAUUCCCAUUUUUUCCUCUCCAUUCCCAUUUUUCCUCUCUCCUUUCCCCUCCCCAUCAUCCCCACCCCGGAAUCCUGUGGGAUCACCCUGGAUCCGGUGGGAUCACCCUGGAAUUCUAUGGGAUCACCCCGGCUCCGGUGGGAUCACCCCGGCUCCGGUGGGAUCACCCUGAAUGCCGUGGGAUCACCCUGGAUCCGGUGGGAUCACCCUGAAUCCCAUGGGAUCACCCUGGAUCCGGUGGGAUCAUCCUGGAUCCGGUGGGAUCACACUGGAUCCCGUGGGAUCACCCUGGAUCCGGUGGGAUCACCCCGCAGAUCCCGUACGGGAAGAAAUACGACAAGUCCUGGCUGCUGAGCUCCAUCCAGAACCUCUGCAGCGUCCCCUUCACCCCCGUCGAGUUCCACUACGAUCACAACCGGGCCCAGUUCUACGUGGAGGACGCGACCACGGCCAGCGCCCUCAAACAGGUGUCCCGGAAAAUCACCGACAGGGACAACUACAAGGUGGGGAUCCGGGGGGAUCCCGGGGGAUCCAGGGGGAUCCGGGGGGAUCUGGGGGGAUCCCGGGGGUCUGGGGGGCACUGUGGGAUCUGUGGGAUGGAAUGGGAUCUGUGGGAUCCAUGGGGCAGGGCGAGAUCUGUGGGAUGGGAUUGGAUCUGUGGGAUCCAUGGGAUGGGAUGGGAUCCGUGGGAUGGGAUCCAUGGGAUGGGGUGGGAUGGGGUUCAUGGGAUGGGAUCCAUGGGACAGGAUGGGAUCCAUGGGACAGGAUGGGAUCCAUGGGACAGGAUGGGAUCCGUGGGGUUGUAUGGGAUGAGAUCCAUGGGAUGGAAUCCACAGGGUAGGAUCCAUGGGAUGGGAUCAGAUCUCUGGGAUGGGGUUGGAUCUAUGGAAUGGGAUCUAUGGGACAGGAUGGGAUCCAUGGGAUUGGAUCCUUGGGAUGGGAUUGGAUCCUUGGGAUGGGAUCGGGUCCAUGGAACAGGAUGGGAUCCAUGGGAUGGGAUCCAUGGGGUUGGAUCCAUGGGAUGGGAUUGGAUCCAUGGGAUGGGAUCGGGUCCGUGGAACGGGAUGGGAUCCAUGGGGUGGGAUUGGAUCCAUGGGAUGGGAUCGGGUCCGUGGAAUAGGAUGGGAUCCAUGGGAUGGGGUCAGAUCCAUGGAAUAGGAUCCAUGGGGUCAGAUCCAUGGGAUGGGAUCCACGGGAUUGGAUCCAUGGGAUGGGAUUGGAUCCAUGGGAUUGGAUCCAUGGGGUGGGACUGGAUCCAUGGGGUGGGACUGGAUCCAUGGGAUGGGAU
rnacentral:lncRNA from 1 species